rnacentral:piRNA from 1 species
UGUAUACCUGCUUACAUGGCCUCUCCU